CGAAGGGCAUCAUAGUAUUAACAGGUGGUAAGCAAUGUGCGAGGUAGAUUACAUUGACAUGAAAGGUUGAGGAUUUUCAAAUGAUUUUGGAAAGGUUACGUGCCAAACAACCCUCUAAGAAAGGAACAUUUUCAUUGAUGAACAAACAAUAAUGUCUCGGACUGAUUAUCGAAGAACAUCAUUGUUAGAUGAUGUAAAAUACCAAGUUCUACUCUGGUUAUGUCAGUUUUAAAAGCACUUCAACAACCUGCUCCAGUGGAUGUUUCAAGUCCAAAGAAAAUUGAGGUAGAUAAGAAGAAAGAAGCAUGUGUUAGUACGACAAAUACACGACGUACUUUAAAGUUAUUGAACAUGGGAAAACACGUAUGUUGUUUCAUUUUAUGUAAUACACAUGUGUUUGCUUUUAACUUUGUGAGCAAUUAUUAGUUUUUCCAAUUUUUUCGUAAGAGUUAUUUUAGUUUUAACAUGAAUAUAUUUACAUCAUCGAGAUGCGUUAGAAACGCGUUAAAUUUCA